UCUCUGACUUUCUCAGGAAAGGAGCAGCCUUCCCGAACUCGGCCAUCAGCGCGUCACCCAUGGUUGAGGGUGGAGGUCCUCAGCAGUCAGAAGAGGGAACGAACAGAGAAGAAAGAAUGGUUUCCCUGAUGCAACUUUACAAUAUGAAUCAACGCCAAACACCACAACAUGAAGCCUAUAUGAUGAGUGUGGUCUGACUGACUGAAGGGUUUCUGUCUCUUUAUCUCUGACAGUCUGGGCUCAUCAGCUCUCAGCCUCCAAAUAGAAACCAGAGACAGUUUUUAUCUUCAAGGGUGGGACCUGGGGGGGUGGGCAGGUGGCGUCCUGUCCCCCUACCACAAUCUGAUUGGCCACCCUUGGAGCUACCACUACCAGAGUCCGGUGGUGGUAGGUAGUUAAGGGAGUAGAACAUUUAGCCCAACAAGAACGGACUCACUCUGAGGCUGAAGAAAAAUCCUCAUGUUCAGUAAAUAAUUUCUGUGAUUCAAAGUUUUUUCAGUGGUGAAACACC